rnacentral:rRNA from 1 species
UUCUUCGGAGAGUUUGAUCCUGGCUCAGGAUGAACGCUGGCGGCGUGCCUAAUACAUGCAAGUCGAGCGAACUGAUUAGAAGCUUGCUUCUAUGACGUUAGCGGCGGACGGGUGAGUAACACGUGGGCAACCUGCCUGUAAGACUGGGAUAACUUCGGGAAACCGAAGCUAAUACCGGAUAGGAUCUUCUCCUUCAUGGGAGA